UGGCAACACUGCCUACGAAAUCGAAACUGCGUUCCCGCCAACGGUUUUCGGUUUGUGUUAUAACGAGAAGGUACGGCACGUCCGCAGAAGCGAUAGGCCGACAAGGGACCGAAGGGUCGGAGCCAUAUCCCUAAAAGAGGCCAUGCUUUCAAGAGCUUUAUCCUAAUUCAAGUGAAACAUGUUAUUUUUGAGGCAUUGGUUCUUGUUUUUCAAGCCUCCUGGAUUAUAUCUUAUACUAACUGUUUCUCCUAUGAAGUGGCGUCCAGUGAGUCGGCUAGGAGAAGAUAGGCUGCAUCUCCUGAUGCUGUUUGAAGUGACUGUAUUUUCACCAUAUUUUGUGAAAAUGUUCUCUAUUAAUUUUAAUUUGAAAUUUUUUAAAGUUAAUUUACCACCUAAUUUUCUAUGGAUAAUGUGUGCAUUGAGUACACAUAAAUCCAAAAAUCUCAAAUAUAUUUUUUUAUAGUACUUUCUAAGACGAGUACAUGUACUGGGGGUAGUUGACGUAAUUUGAUCCAUCAGAUCUACGCCUCCUAUAUGAUA